CCAGCAGCCGCGNUAAUACGUAGGUCCCGAGCGUUNUCCGGAUUUAUUGGGCGUAAAGGGAGCGCAGGCGNUCAGGAAAGUCUGGAGUAAAAGGCUAUGGCUCAACCAUAGUGUGCUCUGGAAACUGUCUGACUUGAGUGCAGAAGGGGAGAGUGGAAUUCCAUGUGUAGCGGUGAAAUGCGUAGAUAUAUGGAGGAACACCAGUGGCGAAAGCGGCUCUCUGNUCUGUCACUGACGCUGAGGCUCGAAAGCGUGGGUAGCGAACAGGAUUAGAUACCCUGGUAGUNCACGCCGUAAACGAUGAGUGCUAGGUGUUAGGCCCUUUCCGGGGCUUAGUGCCGGAGCUAACGCAAUAAGCACUCCGCCUGGGGAGUACGACCGCAAGGUUGAAACUCAAAGGAAUUGACGGGGGCCCGCACAAGCGGUGGAGCAUGUGGUUUAAUUCGAAGCAACGCGAAGAACCUUACCAGGUCUUGACAUCCCGAUGCUAUUCUUAGAGAUAGGAAGUUACUUCGGUACAUCGGAGACAGGUGGUGCAUGGUUGUCGUCAGCUCGUGUCGUGAGAUGUUGGGUUAAGUCCCGCAACGAGCGCAACCCUUAUUGUUAGUUGCCAUCAUUAAGUUGGGCACUCUAGCGAGACUGCCGGUAAUAAACCGGAGGAAGGUGGGGAUGACGUCAAAUCAUCAUGCCCCUUAUGACCUGGGCUACACACGUGCUACAAUGGUCGGUACAACGAGUUGCGAGCCGGUGACGGCAAGCUAAUCUCUGAAAGCCGAUCUCAGUUCGGAUUGGAGGCUGCAACUCGCCUCCAUGAAGUCGGAAUCGCUAGUAAUCGCGGAUCAGCACGCCGCGGUGAAUACGUUCCCGGGCCUUGUACACACCGCCCGUCACACCACGAGAGUUUGUAACACCCGAAGUCGGUGAGGUAAC
rnacentral:rRNA from 1 species